rnacentral:snoRNA from 1 species
CCCCUCUCAGGAUGGCACCUGGAGAGUUUCCAGCCCUCUACCAGUCUCGACUACGGGAGGGAGAGUCAAGCAGAGGCAUAGCCGUUCCAUUCCUAGCUUGGGCGGUGGCUAGCGAGGGGAAGGCAAUCCGCUACAAGU